rnacentral:rRNA from 1 species
AUUGAACGCUGGCGGCAGGCCUAACACAUGCAAGUCGAGCGGAUGAAGGGAGCUUGCUCCUGGAUUCAGCGGCGGACGGGUGAGUAAUGCCUAGGAAACUGCCUGGUAGUGGGGGAUAACGUCCGGAAACGGGCGCUAAUACCGCAUACGUCCUGAGGGAGAAAGUGGGGGAUCUUCGGACCUCACGCUAUCAGAUGAGCCUAGGUCGUAUUAGCUAGUUGGUGGGGUAAAGGCCUACCAAGGCGACGGUCCGUAACUGGUCUGAGAGGAUGAUCAGUCACACUGGAACUGUGACACGGUCCACACUCCUACGGGAGGCCGCAGUGGGGAAUAUUGGACAAUGCGCGAAAGCCUGAUCCAGCCAUGCCGCGUGUGUGAAGAAGGUCUUCGGAUUGUAAAGCACUUUAAGUUGGGAGGAAGGGCAGUAAGUUAAUACCUUGCUGUUUUGACGUUACCAACAGAAUAAGCACCGGCUAACUUCGUG